ACGUCACAAAACACUCGUUAAUGGGAUGGGUCAGGUGCUCGAUAAGGAAGAUGGUCAAAGUAUAUUUUGGAAAACAUGACUAAAAUCAAAUAUCUACCAUGGAUACAUUCAUAUCUGACAGAGAAGUAAUGGCAGAAGAACCUGAUGAUGCCAUCUCAGUCGUUGACGUAUACGACCAAGCCGCGUCAAUUGGCAAAGAAUUCGAAAGAAUGAUAGAAACAUUCGGCGUCGAAGCAGUCACUGAUUUGAUGCCAAAAGUGAUCAAAGCAUUAGAAAAUUUAGAAUCAUUGGCAGCUAGAUAUGAACGUGAGAAUACAGAAAUAACGGAACUAAGGACGACAAUUCAAAAAUUGGAAUCUGAGAAAAACGAAAAGGCACAAGAAAGAAUGAAAUAUGAAGAGGAGCUUGAACAGAUAGAAGAAAACUGGCACAGAGAGACAAAAGACCUAUAUAAUUCUAUUAAUAGAUUAGAAAUUGACAACAGAAGGUUAAAGGAACAUCUACAAAACCAGACUGUAGCAGUAAAAGAGGAAGUAGCUGCUGUAACUAAACAAACUGAGGAAAAAGAAAUUGAAGUUCUGAUGAAGUUAAAAGAUACUGUUGACAAGCAGAGAGAUGAUCUAAGGAAACAAAAAAGAGACCUGAGUCAAAAAAAUAUAGAUUGUGAAGCACUACAGACACAAUUAGAACAAGUUGUGAAAGUAAAUACAGAACUUCGUAAGAAAAACACAACACAUAAAAAACAAUCUAGAACUUUGUUGGAAGAAAAGAGUGAGUUAGAGGCUCAGCUUGUAGAUAAAGAACAACAGAUUCAUCAAAUACAGGAAAUAAUGAGGGAUCAAGAGUCUCAGGAAGAUGAUAGAGUAGACACACCCACUCAGGAAAAGUCCAACCCACUGAGAGAAGUCGAAGUAGAUGAAGAGCCACAUCAAAAGAACUUACAUGAAGAUAUUAUUGAACAUUCCGUUGACAAUUUCAUUCCAAAUGAUGAACCUACCGACGAAAGUUUAGAAAAAUUACAACAAAAACUUAGUAUGGUUGGCAAAAUGGUGAUUGACUUAAAAGAUCCUAACCGUCCGCGAUUUACAUUAAAUGAAUUACGAACUGUUUUAUUGGAGAGAAAUGAACUUAAAACAAAACUUAUAGCCGUAGAGGAGGAAUUAGCUGACUAUAAACCAAAACCUGCUAACCAGUUAAUGACCAGUUUUGCAUCAGAUGGGGAUAGUGCUGAUGACACAAAGUCAAAUGAUUCAUACACUGGUGAGGAACUUCCUGUGUAUGGACCAAUUAAUAAAGAACCUUACGAGAAGCUUUAUCCUGGAAGACGAAGAGAAUCAGGCAUUAGAAAAUUUUUCAGAUCGUUGUUUGGAACAUCACCAUCAACCUCUCCUGUUCAAGAAAGAAGACGAAGCCAUCAACACUGACGGGAAUAUGCAAAUGAUGAAUGCUUUUAUGACUUUGAAGUCAAUGUUGCCCUUGAUUGGGCACAUUUUGAAGAUGGUAUCUCGUUGUCAUGGGACAUAUAGUCUCUUAACUGUGAUAUUGCUGCAGAAAUUGCUCUCCAUAUCACAAGAAAAUAUUUUGUAUGAUCUUUAAUUUUGAGAUGAUUAUUUUCAAAAUUUCAAAUAUACCAUAGGUAUCAUAUUAUAAGCUCUAGGGAACUGAAUAUUUCUUAAAGGGGAUGUGCAAUAGAGUCUUUGAAACCAUGCUUGUGAAUUAUUAAAUUAUCUCUAAUUAAAAGUUAAAUGUAUUUUUACUAUUCCACCUUAACAAUUGGUUGUGUCUAAAAUCAAUAAAAGGAAAAUAUGCAGCUUCAUUUAUAUAUUGGUAAGUAUAAUCCUAGUUUGGCCCAAAGCAAGAAUAGUGAAGAAAACUAUCAGUAACCAACUGAAUACAGAUUUCUUCACCUUUGUUUGGUAUAAUUAAAAGUUACUGUUCACAUUUUUUUAAUUUGCCAACAAAUUACAGUAAAUUAUUCAAUUUAUUUAUUUGCUAACUGAUUGAAGGUUGUUUUGUCAAAAUUUGCAAGGUGGUGUGUUAGAGCAAGAGCUUGUUUUAUGAUAAAUAUGGUACAUACAUGUACUUCUUGCAAAAAUAUGUAUUCUUUAGGCAAUUUUUGAACAAAGAGUCAACAGGUUCAAAUUUUUUUAUGGAUGUUUGACCUUAAUGUCAAUCACAAUAUAAAGGAAAUCGUAUGUACUCAUUCUUUCUAUGGUAUAAUUAUUUAUGGUAUGGGCAGUAUGAUACUGUCCAUGCAUAUUUUAUUUAACUUUGUUUUUAAUUUUUUUAACAAAUGUUGACAUACAAUAAUAAGUUGGCUGGUUCCAACUGUUUGACAUAGAAAGUGAACCAAAAACUGGUGGAAUUUUUUUCAAUAUUUAUUUUUAAUCUGAAAUUGUUUCCUAUUCUGAAAUUAUAUUGUUAGAUUUAAAAAAAAAUUAUUAGAGUGGAUAAUAUCGGGAAUGUCAUGUUGAAAUAUUAAAAUUUCGAUAUUUCAUGAAGGUAUUAUUUCCAAUAUGAUCUAAUAGAUAUGGGUAUUUAAGUCAAGACUCUUAUGAUUUCCUAAACAUAUUUAAAAACAAUGUGCUCUAGUAAUCACAAAUAAUUUCAAAUAUGGAGCUUUAUAAUGAUGGUAAAAUAAUUAUUCUAAUGAACACUUGUUUUGGUGGCGCCCUCUUAUUUAAUAUGUUGGUUUAACAGAUAUACAACAUUAUUGUUGUGAAAAGUUAACAGUCUGAAUUAAAAAGGGAAAGUAUAGUAUGAGAAAACACUUUCAGCAUUGUGAGUUUGUCAUCCACUAUGAGUUUGAAUAUCCCUUUGGUAACUUCCACAUCUUUUUUACACUAGAAACAAAGUUUACUUCUAUUAAAUGCUGUAUAUUUUUAUAUUAUUUUAUUUUUGUGUUAACUGCAAAAGAAUAUUUAUAAAACACAUCUGUAGCAUUUUUACUUACUAUUAUAAGUAAAUUAGUAUAUGCAUAUAAAAUGCUCAAGCAUACGCAACUAAUAAAUAGUCAAUAGAAUAGAAUGCGCUUAUAGAUAAAAUAUAAAUAUAUUCGAAAGUAUUCUUUAUUUUCUGAUUUUUUUGUCAAAAAGGUUGAUUCAGGGUUGAAAUAGGGAGAAUGAAGCUAAUAUACUUCCCCUAUAAAGAAAAAGCAAUAUCUAAUUUUGAUAGGUGUCACUUCAUUUAAAGCCAUGAAUCUGUAUAUGGCAUUAUUAAUUCAGUGUAAAUAUCUUAGUUUCUUUAGAAAAAUAAGGUUGUGCGUAUUAGUAUUAGUUUUCUAAUUUAGAAUGCAUAUUAAAUGCUGCAUGGAAUGUUUUAACCAAUGACAAUGACUAAGGUACAUGUAUGUUUAUAUGUCCCAUGACAACCAUUGUCAUAGAAACAUUCUGAUGCAUUGUGGGACCAGAUUUGCAAAUAGCAUAUCAAAAUACUCAUAAAACAGUUUGCAUGAAUGGUAUGGAUAAAAGGGUUUGUACAUUUUGCUUGUGUUUUGUAUGGAAAAGUAAGGAGUUCAUUUUUGUUCAUUUAAGCAAAGCGGCUUUAGUUUACUUCAUUUUGACAGGGUCUGUUACUUUUAAUGGCACUAAAUCAUGAUUUAGUAAUUUGAUAAUGGAAAGAAAUUUUCAAUUUGAUUAUCGAUAUGGAAUAACAACCAAAUUGUAACUUGUUUAAAUUUCUCAAGUCUAAUUAAUAAAUAAUAUGCAUAACAUAAAGUUACUUAAAGUGCUGUGAAUUUUGCUUGCAGUUAUUUAUUAAUAUUAAGCUAAACUGUGCCAAUAUACCUCUAUGUUUUAACACAUUUUUGUUUAUUUUGUUGAUGUUAUGAUGGACAUGUAAUAGUUGCAAAGUUUUAUUUAAAAGAAUUGUAAAAUACUUUCUAUUUUAAUAUACAGCUGGCAUGACCUCUUGGUCUGUAUUGAAAAUACUAAAUAUACUAAACUUAGUCAUUUAAAACACUAUAGAAGAUUUUUUCAAUUUUUGAUACGGUUUAAGAAAAGUUCUGAAAUUAACAUUAAUUUCUGUCUUAAAUACAACAUGUUAAGCUUUAGAAUGCCCUGAAUCUGGAAGAAUUUUUAAGAAUUUUAACAGAGAUCAUAAAAAAUGUUGUCAUUCAAAUUAUAAAAAAUAAAUCGGACAAAAGAAAUCUGACUGAAACUGAUUACCCUCAACAAGUAGAAAAUAUGGCCCCUCUAAUAUAAUAAACUUUUCGCGCUCAAAAAGAACAGUAUAGACUAUAAAUAAAAGCAAGACUUUAACUUGUAUCCUGUUAGCAAUAAGUCACAGUUAUUGUCAUUUAUAGAUGUGUUCCAUAAAUUUUAUUUUUGCUCUUUAACAUUUUUGAUAUGAGCGUCACUGAUGAGUCUUUUGUAGACAAAUCAUCUAAAUGUGUAAACAAACUACAUGUAUAAUGUGUAGGCUUUGUGAUUUGUGAUUCGUAUCUUUAGGUGUAAUACCACUAAAUCAUAGAACGUCACAUCCGGUUGCAUAUGAAAAAGGGUAGAAAAAAAAUAUUCCCUUGAAUUUGACAGUUGUAGGAAAUUAAUCCUACAUUUCAUUGCAGUAAAAAAUUUCUGAGUCAUAAACAUAUGUCUUGGGUGUUUCAAAGCACCAUUCUAUUUUUAUUUGGUGUUUCUAUAAAAUAAAUUUGAAUCUUGAGGUUACAUGGUUACUAAAGCUUGUAAACAGGGCAAAAGGGGGUGAAAAUUUGAUUAGUUAACUUCCAGUGAUGGUUAUUAUCUUAUAUGCAAUGAAAUGUUAUGUGAACUUUUUUCUGUAGUACUGGACAGGAUAAAACUUUACUCAUGCCAAGUAUUUCUUUAUUUGAAACAAAGAUAAAUUCUGCACAAUUUUUUGAAAAGUGCAAAUUUAACAAAGACUUAUAGGGGAAAAACAAUGGUGGUAUUACUCCAGAACAACAACUUUGCAGCUAUUAUGUUAAUUGUUUGUUAUAUAUUUUGUUAAGUUUUCGUAUUAAGUUGUGAUAUUUGUACAUAUGUUUUUAUGUUUGUAUCAAUAUAAUAAAAUUAUGUAAUAAAAUUAUAAGUUCAAUGUAUAGUAGAAGAAAAAAAAUAUUACAAAUCUUGAACGGAAAUCUGCGAAGCCUUGAUUUUAAUUUUUCUAACAAUAAUUUAUAUUGAUUUUUUAAACUUAGAUAAAUAGUCAAUUAUAUGACUCAAAUAUGUAUUAAACCAAUAUUGAUUUGCUUUAUUUUAUUUUAACUAUCUGGUUCUAACAAAAAAAAAACACACCUCGGAAAUAUCAACAGCUUCACAUUUGUUGUUGAUAAAAUAAUCCAUGUAACACAAUAUUUGAAUAUACUACAAGAUUUAGAAUGGUGAAGAGAGCUGGAAUCUCUGUUUUAUCAAAAUACACUGAUUUUAACCAUAAAAUUCUAUGGGUCAUUUCAGCAGGACUAGAGAAAUCUUUUUAGUGAAAAGAGUCACAAAUUAUUCCCGAAAGGCUACACUAUUUGAGAUCGUGGUAGGAUUUUACUAUCCACUACUUGAUUUAUUAUGAAUUAAUGAUUGAUGAAAUAACUGACAAUUUCAAUAUAAGAAUCCUGCCCGAUCUUAUCACAUGUUUGUUUUGAAUAGAAAACAUUUGUUCACGAAAACACAUGCAAUAAACACCAGUUCUCACAUUUCUGAAUUUAACAAAAGGAACUAUUAUCUGAUAACCAGAUGAUUAACUGUGUAUGACCUAAAUCAUGGCUGUUUUAUAAAUGGUAUUAUUACUAUACAACCCUUAAUUAAUAGAUUUUAAUGAUUUUUAACUAAACAAUGCUCUUUUAGUGUAUUAUAAAUAAAAAAACUUGAAAUUUAUGAUUUAUAUAAAAUAAAUGGUGCAUUUUUAUCUUUUGAACAAGUAUGGCAUUAUAAAGAGGACCAUCUUUUUUUAUAUAAAAUGUGUGUUGUUUUAUUAGAUGAUGUUUGGUGCUGCUUUCAUUAUGAUUAAAAUAUGGUUUUACAUUUAAAUGUUUGGAGCUUAUUUAUAAAGAAAAUACUAUUUAAAUUUUGUCAAAAAGUUCUGGAAAUAAUAUAUGCAUUUUGUUUUUUCACAUUGGCAUUUUAUGUUUACAAGCCAGAACUACUGGAUGAAGAGCCAUUUAUUUAGCUUUGUAGUGGAAGGCUGAUUUUUGCUGGUUCUUGGCUCCCGUUUUUUAUUUUUGGUGCUUUUUGUUCAGUUUACCUUGGGAAGAACUUUGCUAGUAGUCUCUUGUUAGAAUUCAAUUGAAUAACAACUAACAGUUAGUUUUGAUUAUAUCAUUAUUAAAGUGAGUUUUGAUUAUACUAUAUCAUUAUUAAAAAAUCAUAGAUAAUCAAGGUACAAUAUGCCAUUUUUUGGACCAUAUCAAAUUCUUAGAUAUAAUAAGUGCAUGGUUACUAUUAUUAGUUACUGUAAAUUCAGAAAUUAAUGCUUUGUGAAUCCUUGUCCUCUGUCAAAAAUGCCAAAUCUAAUUAAUACGAUUGCAAAAAAAAUAACAAAGGAAAAUCACUACUGAAAUUAUGAAUGUGAGUUUUUACUAUUGUGAACCUGAUAUCGUUGCAUUUUUAGCAUUAAUAAAAUCAUCGCAAUAAUUUCUUUAAUUUACAGUAUAAUUCGUAAUACAGUAAGUAACUUAGCCUUGACAAUUUCCUUCCUUGUUAGAAGAACUAAUUUGAUUAUUUUGCUUAGAUAAGGUAAAAUGUUGAAGAUUUGACUGUAAACUAUUUCACAUUAUUGAAAAAUAAUAUAUUUUCAUAACUGGAAAGUUAGAAAUAACUUUAUAUUGUCUGAGUAAUAGUGCUUAAUCUCUUAUUUGAGAAAAUUACUGAGUGUCUUUAUUUUUUGAAACUGCACUAUUAUAUAUGUAUUAAGUCUAAAUUUUUAUUUCAAUAAUCAGUAAGAUAUUGUUUAGUGUUAUUGUAGUGAUGAAAUUAUUGAAAAACAAGAUAGACCUAGGUUAAAGGACUUUUAAUCAGUACUGGCUGGUUUGUGUCAACCAUUUUAUAAUAUAUUCCAAGCUUCUAAGUUACAGAGAUUAUUUUAUUUCUUUUUUUUGCACACGAACGUUUUAACAUCAUUGAUGAGACUAUUAGAAACAUACAUAGACAUAGAAAACUUUAUUUGAAUUCAGAAUAAAACAAACUGAUUAGCUUUUUACAGAAUACAUUUCUGAUACAUGUAUAUGGAGUUAUCUCCCAUAACCUAGGUCUUCUCUGUUGAAGCCAGUGAAAGGAUUUGUUAGGAACUGAAUACAAUGUGUAUACUUGUAUUGUGUAGCAUCUCUGUUCAGUAGACAUGAUAAUGUUUUGAAAUAAGUGGUUGAAAUAGUGUUUACUGGUAGGCCUUUUGUGUUCUAAAAUUCUAUUUUGUGAAAUCAUUCUAAGAAUAUUGCUCACUUGAUACAUCUGAAGCUAUGUUGCCUGAAAGGAAAAAUAAAGAUAGUAAUGAAAUGAUUAUAAGGAAUAAGUUUUAAUGGAAAUUAAAAUCCUCUAGUAUUUCUUAAUUGUAGGAAAUCAGACAAAAUUAAAAAAAAAGGACUUCUAGCCAUGAAACAUUUCCAUUUUGGUUGUUGAAAUACAGUGAAACAUAUCAAACCGAACCCUGCAUAACCAAAAAUCUUUACAAAGUGAAGUUAUGUAUCUGAGCAUUCAAUGAAUAAUCUUAGUGAUUUAGAUCAGGUAAGCUUUACACCUGCAUGCUUGGAACAAAAUGAUUACUAUAGAAGGGAGCAUGUUUUAGUCCAUUAGACCAGAAAGUAAUGUUCAGACAAAACAAUAAGGCAAAGCAGUAUUUAAAUUUUAAUAAUAAAAUGAAGUUCAAAGUU